UUGGACCUGAUAUCANGCAAGAUUACCCGCUGAACUUAANCAUAUCAAUAA
rnacentral:rRNA from 1 species